rnacentral:rRNA from 1 species
UACGUAGGGUGCAAGCGUUGUCCGGAAUUAUUGGGCGUAAAGAGCUCGUAGGCGGUCUGUCGCGUCAGCUGUGAAAACCCGCAGCUCAACUGUGGGCUUGCAGCUGAUACGGGCAGGCUUGAGUUCGGUAGGGGAGACUGGAAUUCCUGGUGUAGCGGUGAAAUGCGCAGAUAUCAGGAGGAACACCGGUGGCGAAGGCGGGUCUCUGGGCCGAUACUGACGCUGAGGAGCGAAAGCGUGGGGGAGCGAACAGG